rnacentral:rRNA from 1 species
UACGGAGGGAGCUAGCGUUGUUCGGAAUUACUGGGCGUAAAGCGCACGUAGGCGGCUUUUCAAGUCCGAUGUGAAAUCUCCCGGCUCAACUGGGAAACUGCAUCGGAAACUGAUCGGCUUGAAGGUGGGAGAGGGUAGUGGAAUUCCCGGUGUAGUGGUGAAAUGCGUAGAUAUCGGGAGGAACACCAGUGGCGAAGGCGACUACCUGGCCCAUUCUUGACGCUGAGGCGCGAAAGCUAGGGGAGCGAACGGG